CCCUUAGAUGUCCUGGGCCGCACGCGCGCUACACUGAUGCAUGCAACGAGUAUAUAACCUUGGCCUGAAAGGCCUGGGUAAUCUUUUGAACGUGCAUCGUGAUAGGGAUAGAUUAUUGCAAUUAUUAAUCUUGAACGAGGAAUGCCUAGUAAACGCAAGUCAUCAGCUUGCAUUGAUUACGUCCCUGCCCUUUGUACACACCGCCCGUCGCUCCUACCGAUUGAAUGAUCCGAUGAAUACCAUGGAUUGAGAGUACGAAUAGGUUCGCUUAUUUCUGCUGCUCGAGAAGUGGAGUAAAUCUUAUCAUUUAGAGGAAGGAGAAGUCGUAACA
rnacentral:rRNA from 1 species